AGUUUUACUAAAUUUUGUACAAUGGUUAAAAUAAAAUAAAUUUCAUGAAUUAAAAAAUUGUCAACAAUGUGAAUAACUUAAAUAACAUUGUCAGAAUAAAAGUACGUAAAUAAAGUGUAAUAUUUUGUAAAAAUUAAAUAUAUAAUGUAGUAUAUCUAAACCCAUUAUUGUCUCAAGACGAUGUAUAUAAAAUUCGCGUGGCAGUCCAAGUAGUACAAGUUUUCAUUAGAGGAUAUGCUUGGUUAUAGAAAAGAAAAGGGAGAUUGGGUGUUAGAGAUUUUGUACAUUAAUAUUAAAAAAAUUAAAUCUGACAAAUAAUUUUCUGUAUUUUACGUAGAAAGGUAAAAGCUUUUUAACAUAUUUCUUUGCCUGAUGAAUAUUUUACAGUACCAUAAUUUCAUGUGCCAGGUUUUUUAAUUCUCAGGAUAUCUGAUUUAUUGAGGAUGUCAUUUCAUUCAAGCUGCAGCCCCACAGAUAAAAAUCUGAAACAUUUAGAUCGUGAAAAGUUGAUAACCGUUUAAUGUGUCCAUAUAACAAAACAGGUCUGUUAGGAAAUAUUUUUAAAAAAUUACUAUUGAGUAUUUUGUAUGUAUAGCAAUAGCUAUUAAAACAAAAUAUAAUUUAAUUUUAGUAAAUGAAAUCCUUUUACCAUUCUUUUCUCACUUGAAUUAAAACUUUGAACUUUGAAUUAAGCAAGAGCUUUGUAAAACUUUUUAAAUUUUGGUCUUUAAGAACUGUGUAAAUUAUUAGAAUCUUUAAACUUUGUAUUUAUAAAUAAAUACUGUAUAUUCAUUAAAUAUAUUCAGCGUUAACAAAUUACUUUUAUUAAUUUGAUUUUAGUGUCAUUAUCUUUUUUUAGUUUAGUUUUCGUAUAUAUAUUACUGAUUAAAGUGUUUGACAUGAUAAAUGAGAAGAAACAAAUCACACUAUCUAUGGAGCAACCAUUAAAGGUCUUAGAAGACAUAAAAGUAUCAAGUACUACAGUUGUUGCUAUAAAAUAUAACGUAGAUAAAUCAACGUAGGAUAAAGAGGAACGCUGCGAAAAUUCUAGAAUUUGCAGACAAAAGUAGGAUACAGAAAAGAAGGCAGAGGAUAAGAAAACCUUUAUAUGAGUAACUAGAUCAACACUUACUGACGUGGUUUAAAGAGAAGACCUCUGGAGAUUAUUUAUCGGACGCCUUGCUUUUUAAAAAGGCUACCAAAUUGAGAGACAACAUGGGGUCAUGUUCUAGUUUUAGAGUAAGCGAUGGCUGGUUAGCGGGUUUAAAAAACGCCAUAACAUACGUCUAACGCGAACCAAUGGAAGGAAUGUUAUUGCCAAUGAAGGAACUAACAAAUUUAUUAAGGACUUUGAAAAAUUAAUGAAGAGAGAAGAUAUUACGAAAGAAAACAUAUACAAUGUGGGUAACACCUUUCUUUUAUGGAAAACUCUUCCCUCGAAGAUACUGGCGGAAACCAAAAUAAAGAAAUAUCCGUAAAAGAAUAUAAGAACGAUAAAGACAGUUUUAAAUUUGUAUUAUAUGCAAACGCAUAAAUUGAUGCCUUUAGUCAUUAACAGAGCCUUGAAAGAUCAUAAAAAUAAAUUUCCGGUUACUUUUAAGUCACAAAUUCGUCUCAAUUAUGUUAAAGUAUAGAGAGGAUUUGGAAAAACAAAAAGUUUAAAAUUUAUUUACAAAUUAUUUAGCUCUACAUGCACCUUACUCUCUGAAGGACUCGACAAUCUACUCGCUUGCUUUUUUAUUUUCUUCUGAUCGCUUCUAAUAACCUCUAACCGCUUUUAAUCGUUUGCUUAGGACAUAAAAUCUCAGCGGAAAUACUGGAUUGCGAAAACUUUAAAGUAAUUUAUCUACCGUCGAAUACGAACGUCGAAUAUUCUCAUACAACCCAUGAGCCAAGGUAUAAUGGCCAAGCUAAAAAAAACUUUAUCACCAUAAAACAUUACGAAAAGCUGCAAUAUAUGGCGGAAUGGACGAAUUCCAUGCACGUUAUUUAAUCAAAGAUUGUUAGACGAGUCAUGGACAGAGGUAACAGUAAAAAAUAUUAGAGAUGCUUGGAGAAAGAUUAUACCGCACCAAAGAGAUAUUUACCAUUGUGAUCUGCAACAUGACAUAAGCGUUAUUACUGGUAAGAGAUUCUAAGCAGAGGAAGUAAUACAAUUUAUAGACUGUCAAAAAGCCGAAAGUAGAAGCGUAUUUGUAAAGGAGGAGAAGCAAGACGAGUAUGAAAAUGCAAUGGAAGAACAGUGCAAAAUUAAAGAAUAUAAAGAAAUCGGAGCUGUAUAACAAUAUAGAAACGAUGAUCUGGAGUAUUUAUUUAAACUUUUACAUGUAUAUGUAUUAAGGCAAGCGCUUUUUAUUCAACAAAUAUUUCAAAUUCUUAAAAAUCAUUUUUUAGGUACAAAUAAGUAGAAUAAGAACAUUGAGGGAAGAAAUUAUAAAUAUAUAAGUUUUUGCACACUAUUUAUUUGAAAAUUAAUACCAGAAACGACGCAACAAUCUUAUAUUAUACCUUAAUUCAUUCCGCAAUUUUUUUAAUAAACUUUACAAAUUAUACCUAUCUUUAUGAUCUAGCGCAACUCACUGCAUUGAUGACCGUCCUUUUUAGAACCCAAAUUGUCAUUCGAACAAAUCCGAUAAUUGUGGAUUGGCUAUCUGCAAGCUGAAUGCCUCCCUGGAAUUAUCGAAAGUCCGCCUUUGUGCAGGAUAAAUGCCUCUCCGGGGAAUGAUGGGAACAGACUUAGAUUUCCUUGGAGAUGUUGGCGUGUGAACGCUUCUCGUGAUCCGCUUCUCUGCUCCUGCAACGUGUACGAUAGACAGUAGGGCUUUGAAAAGUGAUCCUAUCUUAGUUCUAGUGAUGAUUUUACUGUCAAAUCCGCAUACAGGCAGCUGAGUAUUGUGCAUGACUGAAGCGCGCUGGUUGAGUGUAUUUCAACCUGUCGCCUAUGAUGGCCUUCAUGCUAGAUAUAGACACUUACAACGUAUCUGAGGAUCCCCGCAGAAUUACCAACACAUAGGUUUACGGGGAAGACAAAUAAAAUAUCAAAUUAUACAAUUUAAAAAAUUAAAAAUAAAGAGAAUGUCUUUGA